GUCUGUGGCCAUGUCACCCUGAACGCACCAGAUUUCUUCUUAUCUCGGAAGCAAAGCAGGGUUGAGUUUAGAGUUUGAUUCGGUUUCCUUUCCACCCCCCUUUUUUUUUGGUGUCAGGAAUAAGGCCAGUGAAA
rnacentral:rRNA from 1 species